UACGGAGGGUGCGAGCGUUGUCCGGAAUCACUGGGCGUAAAGGGCGCGUAGGCGGCCUGAUAAGUAGGGGGGUGAAAAUCUUGCGGCUUAACCGCAAGGCUGCCUUCUAAACUGUCAGGCUAGAGCACAGUAGAGGCAGGUGGAAUUCCCGGUGUAGCGGUGGAAUGCGUAGAGAUCCGGAAGAACACCGGUGGCGAAGGCGGUUCUCUGGGCAUUACCUGACGCUGAGGAGCGAAAGCAUGGGGAGCGAACAGG
rnacentral:rRNA from 1 species